AAAAGUUGUUUUUUUUUUGAUGUCUGGGUGCAGUUUGAGGUCUGAUCCCAAUUUUCCCAAUUUUUUUUUAAUUCUUCGCGGAGCUGCGAUAUUUGGGCCUUUUUCCUUGACCUGCAUUUUGAAAUAUUCCCUUUGUGUUUUAAGGUGAAUUUUCUCUCUUUGUGAGGGGAAUGUGCCUGAAUUUCAGUCCUCAAAGAGCUGAAUUCUCUCUGUUUGUGAGGGGAAUAUGCCGGAAUUUCAACUCUCAAAAAGGUGAAUUCUCCCAGUUUGUGAGGGGAAUGUGCCUGGAUUUCAGCCCUCAAAAAGCCCUUCGGAGGGGAUUCAGCCACAGGCCAGGAAAAUGAUUUCCAUUUUAAAACAAAGCAGAAAAGAAGCGGCGCUCAGAGGAUGAAAAUUCCUGGAGCUCCACUCUCCCAGCUCUGCUAUCUCCUCGUUUUCCCAGGAAAAUGAUUCCAAUCCUUUCCCCCUCAUCCCCUCCACCCUUGGAAGCUGAGAAACGACGGGGAAAAAAAAAAAAAAAAAAAGAGAUUUUCCCCCAUUUCCUCCCCUCAAUUAAAAAAAAAAAAAAAUCCUCUCCCAGGAAAUAAAUAACAAACCCAACCAAGCAGGGAGCAUUUUCCUCGCCGGGAGCCGAAGUUAAAAAUUAUUCAAAGUGAAAAUUCCUGGCCUGUGAAGCGGCGGCUCCGACUGUACCAGGCAAAGAUUUCCACGCUGGAGAUAAGAGAGCAGCGAGAAAUCCCAAAUUCCACCCGCAGCUCCCCUUUCCCACCUCGUUUUCCUUCUUUUUUUCUCUCCUUUUGGGAUCAGCAUUUCCUGGGUUUUCCUGGAGUUUAAAGCACAAAGAGGACUGGGCA